GCAGAGCAGAGGCGGGGUUGGCGCCCCCACCCCCAGCCCCGGCGCCGGAAUCCCAAGUGCACAGGAGGCUGGGUGCGAAGCUGUCAGCUGGUGGUCUGAUCAUGACCCAUGGCCGUGGAGGGAGUUUGCUGGUUUACCUGGGCCGUGGCAAAUCCACAGAUUUCCAGCUGCCAACGUGACGUCACUGCACUGCUGGGAGAGCCGCAGAAACCGAACAGACACGAGGGAUGGGAAUGACCCGGAGAGCAGAGCUAGAGUCAGAUGAGACUGGCUCCCGAAACUCCCGGAAACGCAGCAAGCUGCUCUGGCAAGCCAACCCCGGCCCAGUCCUCCCCGCGGGCUCCCGGUGCCUCCUCUCAGCACUGUGGCUUAGUGCUGCCUGUCCAUGCUUCAUACAAACGGGGCCCUGCAGUGCGGAGCCUUCUCUGUGGCUCUUGUCCCUGAGACUGGCCUGCGUCGGGGUAUUGGAGCCCACUGCCCUCACCGCUGCGUCCUGUGAGUGGGUGACCAUAGGGACAUAUCACCACUCGGCCGUUCUGCUGUCAGUGAACCCCUGGCUUUGGUACCAUGCGCUCAGCUGGACGCGCAGUUGGUCUGCAGUGGGGGUCGUGCCCUCACCUGGCUUUGGUACCAACCUGACUUCUGCUGAGAACACAGCUGUGUUCUCUCUGCACGCACGCACACCCCAAGCCUCUUCCCAAUGGUGACAAUACAUAAUGGUUUCUCACAAAAUUCACAUUUGUGUAAAAUGUUAUCUUGAGGUCGUCUUAUUAUCUAUUUAAAGUGGGCUCCUUGCCCGGCACGGAGCUCAGCAUGGGGCUCGAACUCACCACCCAGAGAUCAUGACCUGAGCUGAAAUCAAGAGUUGGACGCUUCCCCGACCGAGCCACCCAGGCGCCCCUGUCUUAAGGUCUUACUAGUGAGAAAUGGUUGUCUUAACAGCAAAACGGCAAAAGCUGCACCUUUCAGAAAGAUGC
rnacentral:lncRNA from 1 species